rnacentral:rRNA from 1 species
GAACCGAGCGAACGUUGUUCGGAAUCACUGGGCUUAAAGGGCGCGUAGGCGGGCCGCCGCGUCCGGGGUGAAAUCCUCCCGCUCAACGGGAGAACGGCCUCGGAUACGGGCGGCCUGGAGGGGGGUAGGGGCGUGCGGAACUGUGGGUGGAGCGGUGAAAUGCGUUGAUAUCCACAGGAACUCCGGUGGCGAAGGCGGCACGCUGGACCCCACCUGACGCUGAGGCGCGAAAGCCAGGGGAGCGAACGGGAUUAGAUACCCCGGUAGUCCUGGCCCUAAACGAUGGGUACUAGGUAGUAGACUUGACAUGGGUUUACUGCCGGAGCCAAAGUGCUAAGUACCCCGCCUGGGGAGUAUGGUCGCGAGGCUG